rnacentral:rRNA from 1 species
GGCGGACGGGUGAGUAAUGUCUGGGAAACUGCCUGAUGGAGGGGGAUAACUACUGGAAACGGUAGCUAAUACCGCAUAACGUCGCAAGACCAAANAGGGGGACCCUCGGGCCUCUUGCCAUCGGAUGUGCCCAGAUGGGAUUAGCUUGUUGGUGGGGUAACGGCUCACCAAGGCGACGAUCCCUAGCUGGUCUGAGAGGAUGACCAGCCACACUGGAACUGAGACACGGUCCAGACUCCUACGGGAGGCAGCAUG